UUAAAGGCUCACGGGGGUGUGUAAGGUCAAGUCUCAGGCAAGACGAUGGCUCUGGCUCAGUCCUAAGAGAGGAAGUGGGGACGUGCAGCAGGGGACAACCAGAGGACUGGGAGCCUGCAGCGGCUGCGAGGCUCCAGCAAGAACCCAGACGUGCUCCCGAGACGCGGCCACAGCCAGCAGAGCCCCGGCACCCGGUGGACCUCAGGGCCCAGGAGAAUGAGGGAGGGUGAGAGUCACGCACGGCGAGGACGGACCCCAUAGACUGACCGCCGCACUCCUGGGCCAACGUGGAGGCCACAGCUCGCUUCUCCCAGGACGGCUGCUGGGCCAACCCAAAUCUCGGUCCAGGCAGAGCUGCAGCAGGACACCGAGGAUGCCAGUCGCCUCCAGCUGGCCAAGUGACCCCAGGAGACCCGCAGCCUCAGGCUGCAGUCACCUGCACCCGGGCUGGAAGACCCCAGAGUCUCGGGAGCUGUGCAGACGCCGUCACCAGGAGAGAGCUCCUGGGCCCACAGGUGACCGCUGCAGACCCCGCGGCCAAGGAUCCACGCCGCCCGGGUCGGCUUCCGCAGCCACAAAACUCACCCCCUCCUCUUCCUCCUCCCCUCCCCCAGGGCCCCACCAGGGCUUCCAGAUGUGGGGGGACAAGAACGGGGGGGGGCUCUUCUUCCCGACUCCUCACGGCCUUGGCAGAAAGAAUGAGCUGGGAUCCUGCCUCUGAGGUCCCCUCUGCGGGGACUCGUGACUGCAGCCGGGAGCGCAGUGGCAGCAGGAAGCUCUCUGGACUUGUCCACCGACGGCCACUUCUUCUAAGGCACCGUCUCAGGGAAUCAAACACCGCGGCCCCCGCAGGCCCGAGAUACCUGACGCUGUUCCUUUAAUUGGGGGGCGCGAGGGUUUACAGCAGGACUGGAAGUCUACUGUGAUUAAGACCUCAUCAAAUAUUGAGACCGCCACGUCCAGAUCCGUUAAUGACCAUACAUUUAAAUGUUAAUGAGUAUAAUUAGAUGAGCGAUUAGCCAAGCCUGCCACCAAACACAUACGCAGGGCCGGUGAACCCCCGCACUGUAGAAUCCCACGUGUGAGCACACGGACGCGCGUUGACGUCGCCGACGGGUUCUGGUUUGUCUGAGAAAAAGUCCAAAGGGUGGCCCGGGAAAGGGACAGGGAGAUGGAGCUAUCAGGCUGAGAAGAAGGCAGGGAGAUGGAGGACCCUGAGGACCCCGGGGGAUCCUUAGAGGUUGCGAAGAUCAAAUAAGUGCGCAGGUGAGAAUUUGCAACCCCCCACGGACGGGGAGCUCACUACUGCCCAGGGUGGCCAGGUCCAACUCUCAGGUCUCACCCUAGAGGCAGGAUUGUGUGAAUGGCUUACGGGGGGUGACACUAAGUCUCCCCCAGAAUUCUAAGGCUUCAAAUCCAAUCCCUCAGGACUAAGGGGACCCCAGCAUCUACAAAAGGUGUUUUAAACAGUCAAGCGUCUCCUUGGUCAAGAACAAGAUAGGCGGGACCUGCAGCAGUUACCAACAGGAAGUCCCACCCGGAGCAUCCAGCAAACUCACCGCAGCAGACCGUGAGCAGGAGACCGUGAGCCGGGCACCCACCGGGCUUGAGGCUGGGGAAACCAGACAGAUAAUGUCUCUAUCUUGACGGACAGUCACAAUGACACACUUUUAAUGAUUAUUUAAAUAGGAUGAUUUACAUGGGAGCUGAGGUCCAUGUGGUGGGGACGUCCCCAGGCAGCAGGUGGACGCAGCCUGGGACAGUCUUGCCAAGAGCAGGGAGGAGCUCCAACAGGGCUCAGCCUCUGCAAAGGCCCUGGGGCAGCGAGGAGCAGGUGGUGAAGUCGGGGACAGCUGGUGGGGCUCCCUCCCGGGGGCAGUAGGCCUCCUUGGAUCUGCUCUGAAUUGGUUUCCUGUGGCUACAGGAGCACAGUCUCAGUGGCUUCUAAUCCUCCCUCAGUUCUGGGGACGAGGGGCUGGAGAUGGCGGUGUGGCAGGGCCACAGUCUUUCCAAGUCUCUCCCCUUUCCCAAAUGCAGUCACUUUCUCAGAUCGAGCGGAACCCGUCACUCAGGCCACAGCUGUGCUGAAGGCGCCUCCCUCACUCCGGCUGCCUGGGGAAGACGGGGGACACACGGACACAGGGAGGCCGGCCAGGGUCGACAGCUGUCCUGCCGGGAAGGGUGCUGGCCUGUGGCCACAGAGAAGCAGGCAGAGCUGUGUACCCCAAGGAGGGGACUGUGCCCACCCCCAAACUCCUAAGAGACAGGGUCACGAGGCAGAGCCACAAGGUGUGCCCGGUCCCACGCAGGCCCAGACCUGCCCGCGCUGACAGUUCCCCCACAGCAGGUGCCUCCCUAGGAGGGAGGGAAGUGCGUCCCUCCAGCUAACCAUGCCAGCGGUCCCCGAGGGCCACCAUGGGCCCCUCCCUGCAGGUGAGAGGUCUGCACACACGGAGCUCCGGGCAGUGACCUUCCUCCCCGAGGAGUGAGUGACUGGAUUGUGGGUUAGACGUCAGGCUCUGGUGGUUUUGACCAAUGUGAGUCACUCUGGAGCUGGAGAACAGCAGAAUGUGGGAGGGCAGCAAGGAAAUGUCACCCCUCCCUGGCCACCACAGCCCGUCCUGGGCACGUCGACUCUUCGAAAGAAAGUACUUAGUGCUCACAGCAUCUCUACUGCGCUCCAAGGAGUCGGAACACCAUGAACCUAAAGAUGGGCCCUGCACAGGGUGCUACUGUAUCGCCCUCAUUGUACAGAGGAAGGUCACCAGGGCCAGCCUGGCUGGUCAGUCGGGGGAUUUGGCCUGGAGAGGGCUGGGCACUGAGCGAGGUGACAGACUUCAGGAACAGCCUCACCUGCCCUUGCACUUCCCGGCUGCUCCUAGGAGCUCCUGCAGGGGGGGCAGGGUGGGGACAGAUCAGGAAGGGCCUGAGGCUCGGAGACAAAGUCACUUCAACAACAAACCAGAGACCCUGCUGGGGGUUCAAACCAGUUUUCUGGUUCUUCAGCCUAGUUCCUGCUCAGCACCUGUCCAGGUGGCUGGUCCACCCCAAGUCGGAACCCUCCACUGAAAUGAGCACCCCUUUCCUCAGGUUCACAGCAAUCAGGUCACCUGAGCAUCCUCCUGUCUCCCAUGAUGAUCCUUGGGCUGGGGGUGAGACUCAGAAGCAGACACUGAUGGACAGGGAGGCAAAGAAGUUCUGAUCCACGAAAUGACUAUUUCCCUAAGGAGCCACAGGGCAUUUGCACUUACCGCUUGUGGGACCUUAGACCCCUCCCCAAUCCUAAGCACAUGGUGCAGUCCCCUGUCUCCUUCGGGUCAGUUGCUGUCACCUUUCUAGAGAGGAUUUCACUUCUCCUGCUGCCUCUAAACUGCGAUGUCACCAGACACCCUCUCCCCUGCACUCUGUUCCCUCCUAGAUUAAUUUUUCUAGAGACUCUUUUCCCGUCUGACUCCAUCUGUUUUGUUCUCACUUAACCGUCUUAACCGCCAUGGCCCUAGACCACAGAAGGCGCAGAUCCAUACGUGUGGGAGCGUUUGGUGUCUGUGCAUGGGGUGCAGAAGGGACGGGAGGAAGAAGGGUCAGCAGGAGGGUGCUCAGAGCUGCCAGGCCCAGAGCUGGAGGCUGGGGUCACUCCAGGAUAGAGGACAGCAUCUGCUAGGCCACGGUCACUGGUGGGAACCGUCAGUCUCACCUGAGCCCUGCCCACUCGGACCCUGGAAGAACCGUCCCAGCAGGGGGCUGGCUGUGGGCUCUGGGCACGGCCCGUGGGCUGGGAAGGGCGGUCUGCCUGUCCCGUGGCGAUUUCCUUUUGCCCUGGGCGUCUCUGAAUGCCACCAAUCUCUGUGUUCUCAUUCCCUUGAUGCCCG